rnacentral:lncRNA from 1 species
GCUAGGUGGCCUGAUGCUAUCUUAGGUAACUGGAGCAUCGCUUCUGGAAGUGAGAAGCUGCCUUUAAAUUAUUCAGUGAGCCUCCCUCCAGUUCACAGGCCUUUCACCACUGUAGGGAAAGCAGCAGAAAAGUGCCGGGAGAGUCUUGACACAGCAGGAUUUAAUGGGAAGGAAGAAAACAGGGGAAGAGGAGUCAUCAUUUGGAAGAUGCCAAGCAGGCCUAGAAUGUUGCAAAGCCCAAGACUGCUCACCUCUUUUCCAGGGAGAUGGAGCACAACUUCCUACUCUUUAAGUGUCGGCUGCUCACUGUGACUUCCUUCCAAAGAGGACAGUAAGAGCAUCAGUGAGUGUUGCCUGGGACAACUUCUCCCGAGUUAGGAAAUCAACUUGAUGAUGCCAAAGAGGAAAGAACAAAGGCCAGUGGACUGGGAAUCAGAAAACUACUCCAGUCUCUAAUGCGCCACGUGACCAGGUAGAGGAGAAAAAGAUUUUUGUGCGGGCAUUCCAACUGGAUAUAAGCAUGACUGCAAAGGCCAAGCUGACACCAUCAGACCCUUUAUAGAACAGAGACACGAAGACAAUGCCACUAGGAUCUAAGUCCCAGCCCAGUCACUAGGAGAUGGACCUGUGUGGACUGCUACAGAAAGACUUCUCAGCUUCCUCACUCCCUCCUCGGGCUGUCUCCCAAAUGACUGUGGAUGCACUGGAACAGACUCUUCUGUGCGACUCGGAGGCAGAUGACUCUUGUGACGCAGGCUCAAAUCUCAAGAAGAUGGCAUCCCGGGAACACCAAGGGGUGAAGACCAAAAUGUCCUAAGAAAAGGCUGCUCUCUCUGGACAAAGGACCAAGAAAAGUGCAGCCUAGGAAGACAGAAAACUAUUAGACAAUAAUUGCGCUACUCCUGGCAACACCACAGAAAAUGCUAUGGCCCCUUCCCACCCACACUAGUAAAGGUCCUGUGGGAAGCCAAGAUUUCCUCCUUUGCCAGGCUGUAACAAGGUGCUCCAACUCCCCUGCCAUCUCCAACAGGGGUGAUGUCUGAGAAAGUCCAGUAAGGAACCAGAACUUGCAUUCCUGCUGGGUGGUCCUAAGGCGUCCUCCCCUUCCCCUGGGGUGGUGUCAUAGGAGGCCUAGUGGAGUAGACUUUCAGCAUUGCCCAUUUAAGAUGAGGUCCCCCACCCUCCACCAGUGGAGGCAACUCGGGAAGCAAUGAGAGGGUGCUCCAAUGCCUCACACCCAGGGAAUAUCAGUGGAGACUAAUAGAGAACUGGAACUCCCAGUCUUGCCCAGCAAUAACUAGGAGAAACACACACCAGUGUCAACGGAGACUAAGCAGGAGGACUCUGACUUCUAACCCCAUCCCCAUUCCCCUGUUGCAGCAGUGUCAGCUAAAACAGAAGGUUUAAGUAAGACCCAGUCUUAUAACACAAUACCUAAAAUGUCCAGUUUUCAAUCAAAAAUCACUUGUCAG